rnacentral:rRNA from 1 species
GAUGAACGCUAGCGGCAGGCCUAAUACAUGCAAGUCGAGCGGCAAGUUGAGUAGUAAUACUUGACCUAGAGCGGCGCACGGGUGCGUAACGCGUAUGCAACCUACCUUUUACUGGGGGAUAGCCCGGAGAAAUCUGGAUUAAUACCCCAUGGUAUCUACGAAUCGAAUGUUUUGUAGCUUAAAGAUUUAUCGGUAAAAGAUGGGCAUGCGUCUGAUUAGCUAGUUGGCGGGGUAACGGCCCACCAAGGCGACGAUCAGUAGGGGUUCUGAGAGGGCGACCGGCCACACUGGGACUGAGACACGGCCCAGACUCCUACGGGAGGCAGCAGUGGGGAAUAUUGGGCAAUGGAGGAAACUCUGACCCAGCGACGCCGCGUGCGGGAUGAAGGCCUUCGGGUUGUAAACCGCUUUCAGUAGGGAAGAAGCGAAAGUGACGGUACCUACAAAAGAAGCACCGGCUAACUAUGUG